GACCCAAGCAAACUUGUACAGUCAUCCUUUACAUGUUAUCAUUGUAAGGGACUUCUCAACACCUGCUUCCUUGCUCUCACCCUCUCAGGCUGCAAUGGGCUGCAGCUGAAACAAUUAAGAUGAACCGUGGCAGUGGCAGGUAUUCUAGGAGCUACACAAUAGGGCUGAAAGUUUGAUCUAGUGUUUUUUUUUGCUCUUCUCUUUCUGUUUGUCUGUGCUUGAACAGGGGAAGUCUUUUCUGACUGUUUCAAAAACCUUAUCAAGCCUUGUAUGAUAUCUAUAAGAGGUCACCAUCUGGAGAUGAUAGUAUAUAAAGACAUAGAAGCUAUGUUAAGUUACAUGGGAUGUGGUUACUGGUUCAGUGGAAAGCCCAUCAGAGCAGUGCUCUGGAGUCUGCCCAAGCUUCCUUCUACUGCAGCUCUUCUGCAAUGAUCCUGUUUCCCCCAUGAGCUCUGGGAGGCUGGAAGGUCCUACAGUAGUGGGAGCCUAGGAAUGAUGAGGCUUGGGACCCACCAGAACUGAUCUUGGAUCAUGGAUAAUUUACUUAAUUUCAAUUAAGUAUGAAACCAGCAGUGAGUUAGCAAUCGGUGUGAAGUUAGGAGCCUCAGUUCUUUGUUGUAUCUAAACUUACACUGCAUUGCUCCUUGUUUCUGGGUCAACUUCAUGUUUGAACACAGAAGAAGUUUGCUUUGAUAUUUGAAACAAGUUGGUUUUGACCCAUGGAAUGUGUGUGUGAAACUUCCUCUCAACAGCCCUUUGUCCUCUGUAAUACUCCAGUGAGCCAGAAGUCUGGCAGACUAGAUCCUAGAUUUACACGUGUGCUGAUCAGUCAAGCCAGUUGCUAACAGCACUCCUAGCAGCUGAGCUUUGCCUGUUUUUCUUUCAGUUGCAACACUAAUUUUGGUCUCCUUCCUCAUCCUGCUGCCAAUUCAUACUACAGCCAUGAGAAUAUAGUCAUCUUGGAGACUUAAGCACCUGGCAGUUGGCCAUGGGGUGAAAAAGAAGUGACUGGUGCAGAAGGAAUCACAGACAAAUGAUCAGAGAGUAUAAUCAAAACCAUGUUAUUUUCUUAGGAAACCUGCUAAAAUUGAGUAAUUUGAAUAUAAACCACAAAACACCAUGAAUUGGACUUUAGCAGUUUUCUGGCUCCUGUGCGCUGUGCCAGAAAUUUGAGUUGCCAUUUGGAGGUCCUGCUUCCAUAGGGACAUUUUUUAGAUGGGCUAUGGCCAGCAUCACAGCUCUGGGGCAUCUUUUGUAGAGAUGGGUCCACACUGAGGGUCUGUGAGAGCUGAGUGGCUUGGCUGUUCAGUCCUCUGGCUCUUGAAACACCACAGACCUUGUGUCAGAGCGGGGAUGCUGUAAAAGCAAUGUAUUUCCUCUUCCUGUACACCAAGUGCUGCAAUAUAUACAGAGCCCUAAGUAAAUCAUCUAGGAUGCAUAGCUAUAAAUUACAGCCCCCUCCCCCCCAACAGGCUUUUAAGGACAACAAAGCCUCACCAUAUAGUUCUCAUGUAUUCCUUAGUAACCCUGUAGGACUCCCUCUGUUUGUGACUGUUUCUGUUAUUGUUGGAAGAUUAAACCUUCUCAAAGUAGAUCAUCAUAAGGAUGGAGUCUGUCCAGUGACCACUUAAGUCAGAGAAAACCUCUUUGCUGCCUGAACCGGUUUGUUGCAGCUGUGAUCAAGAAGCGCCUUGUGUACAUUUAUUUGUUUGUUAUCCAGUACUGUAUUUAAUAUUGAGGCACUCUGCUAAUCUC